ACUUCCGGUCACGUGCCCUCAGACUCCUCGCAGUCCGCGAUGGAGGCGAGACCCCCCAGUAACAGAGGUGGUGGCUACUGCUGCGGCCACUGGGUUUCGGUCUCUUCCCAGCAGCGGCUCUAAGAAGCGCAGCGGAACUCGACCGGAUCCAACCCAGUUAGUUACUUCCUGUCUAGAGUUGUAGCUUCCACCUGAGACGGGGUUUCACCAUGUUGACCAGGCCAUUCAGCCGACUUGUAGCAGUGCGACAGAUUGCACCUUCUAGCCACCAUGGCAACCUCAUCUGAAGAAGUUUUGCUGAUUGUAAAGAAAGUGCGUCAAAAGAAGCAGGAUGGAGCUCUAUACCUCAUGGCAGAAAGAAUUGCUUGGGCACCUGAAGGCAAAGAUAGAUUUACAAUCAGCCAUAUGUAUGCAGAUAUUAAAUGCCAGAAAAUUAGUCCAGAAGGAAAAGCUAAAAUUCAGCUUCAGCUGGUCCUACAUGCAGGGGACACAACUAACUUCCAUUUUUCCAAUGAAAGCACAGCAGUGAAAGAGCGAGAUGCAGUAAAAGACCUUCUUCAGCAGCUGCUGCCCAA
rnacentral:sRNA from 1 species